GCCAUUUUGAUGUUCUAGCUAACACAUUACACUGAACGGCUGUUCACACAUAUAACAUUUAUUUUGAAAAUUUCAUCUAUAAGAAACAGCCUAAAUAUGUUACACUUCUAGACAAUGAGGCUUUCAUGGUAUAUAGCACACAGAGAUUUGAAUCAUGUAGGUAUUUGGUCAUUAUAUUUGUACUUUUAACUCUUUUUAUAUGUGUUGGGUAACAAAAAAAAAGCUGAUGUUAUGUUAUAGGUUUUGUUGGAAACAGCCGAAAUAUGUUGCACUCCUAGACAGAGAAGAUGGAGUCAUGGCAGAUAUGAAGAGUCAACAUAUACAGCCCAGAUAUGUUCCACUCCCACACAUUCAAGAUGGUUUCGUGGUAGAUGGCACAUGAGGAUGUUUAACAUAAACAGCCUAAAUAUGUUACACUUCUAGACAAUGAGGCUUUCAUGGUAUAUAGCACACAGAGAUUUGAAUCAUGUAGGUAUUUGGUCAUUAUAUUUGUACUUUUAACUCUUUUUAUAUGUGUUGGGUAACAAAAAAAAAGCUGAUGUUAUGUUAUAGGUUUUGUUGGAAACAGCCGAAAUAUGUUGCACUCCUAGACAGAGAAGAUGGAGUCAUGGCAGAUAUGAAGAGUCAACAUAUACAGCCCAGAUAUGUUCCACUCCCACACAUUCAAGAUGGUUUCGUGGUAGAUGGCACAUGAGGAUGUUUAACAUAAACAGCCUAAAUAUGUUACACUUCUAGACAAUGAGGCUUUCAUGGUAUAUAGCACACAGAGAUUUGAAUCAUGUUUUGUUGGAAACAGCCGAAAUAUGUUGCACUCCUAGACAGAGAAGAUGGAUUCAUGGCAGAUAUGAAGAGUCAACAUAUACAGCCCAGAUAUGUUCCACUCCCACACAUUCAAGAUGGUUUCGUGGUAGAUGGCACAUGAGGAUGUUUAACAUAUGCAACUUAUAUGAUGUUUUAGUAGUAGAAGGUGCAGCAUGGCAGCAGAAGAUGUUAAAUGGAGAAUCUAUAGAUACAGUUUAAUUCUUUAGAGGAUAAAUAAUAUAAGUUAUAGAUUUAUAGUUUAUAAUUUCUUUAAUGUUCAAAAUAUCAGAUGAGAAUUUGCAAAGUGCCCUCAAUAUGUCUACGAUGAUUUAACAUUCAUAAUAAAGAAUGUAUUGUAAACCUCUUUUUCAAUAUUCAUAUUAAAGGAAGUAGAUUGUCAAUUUAGAUAUUUACUUAUUUACCUGAAUUUUUUUAUUAAGUAAUAAAACAAUAUGACUUUAUUUAGAUUGUUUAGAUUCAAGUUCAAAAUGUAUAUACAUCAGAUAGUUUUGGUUUGCCAACAACUUCAAUUGUAUAGCCAAAAGAUCAAUUAUUGGUUGUAAAUAAUGCCAGCUCUAACUAAAAUCUUAAAAUAGAAACUCUUCAAAUUUGACAAGUUACCAUAUUAUACAUAUGAAUAAAUUAGAAUAGUCUGUAAAUAUUCUGUAUUUUCCUUUUUGCAUCAUCUUUUGAGUAACCAAAUCAGAACACCCAAUUUGGUGAAAUAUUUUUUCCUAUUAUAUCUAUUAUUGCUUUUGUACGAUAAACACAAAAAUGUAUAUGCAGUUUUGUUAAAUAUAUCUAAAUAAAGAAUUAAAAAAAAAAUCAAUUUCAAAUUAACACAAACAAAAUUGACUUUAACUUAUGGUUUAGUUCAUGCACUCUUUAAUGUAUAUCUUAAAAGUUUUGUUGUGGACUAAGCAAAUAUCAAAUUAUCAUUUCAGAAGUACAUUUUCUUGCAUGGUAUCAUCUUCACUAACAUUUAACAUAGUGGGUUUAGGAGUUACUGAGGUAGUUCUUAUUGAGGUGUUUCUUGUUUUUUUCUUUGGAGGAAUCAGUGGUUUCUAUGUCUUCAGGAUAUGGUUUUGUCAUUCAAAGGGAACUGUCUAUGUAAUUCUGAAAUGAUAUACAUUUGGUAUUUUAUUGUAAUUGAAAAAGAAACAAUAUUAGUGCAUGAACAUUUGAACUUUGAAUAUAUAAUAUUUAAACUUGAUAAUUUAUAAUUUUUAAAAUCGAUUUUGGAAAUUUAUUGUUUCAAAAUUAAAUUGUAACUUGUGAACCAUAAUAAGUGAUAUUUUUAUUUGCAACUUGUAAACCAUAAGAGAUAGAGACCUAGGGUGUUUUGGUUUGAGGUCUUUGGUCCACUUAAAGAAAAUUUAGGGCAAGGUCAAAGGUCAAGGUCAUUUUCUAAAUUUUUAUUUUGGCUUGUUAUUUCUUAUCAGAGGCCGUAUAAGAUAUUGACAAAAUAUUUUUCUAAAUUGUUAUAUGCAACAUGUCGUAACAUAUGAUUUUUGGUUGAACACGUACGUUGACAUAAAAUGGGAGUUUUCUCCCCUCUCAUAUUUAAAACUAGCUGUAUGGUGAUAUUACUCAUUAACCAUAUAUAGUAGAGAUCUAGGGUCUUUUUAUUUGAGGUCCUUACUUUAUGACCUUGAAAUAUAGGUCAAGGUCAUAGGUAAAUUUGACGUUCUAGAUUUUGAUCUUAGCACUAACUUUAUUUUUAUAAAUGAUAGAGCCAUAGGACUUCUUGCAUUAGGUUACAAGCCAUAUGACCUUGAAAAAGUCGACCAGAAGUGACCUUGUUUGAAUCGGAAGUAGCUAUUUUUUGUACUUAUUUAAUAUAAAAGUAUAUAGAACCAUAUAUUUUUGGAAUCCAUGUCAAGUAACCUAUCAUAUUAUACCAGAAGUAAUAUUUUUCAAACUCGAAGUAACAAAUUAUCUCCUUUAUACGGACAAAAGUGUAUAGAAACCAUAUAUUUUUAGAAUUGGCACUCAGCUAUAAUCUAAGACUGGAAAUGACAUUUUAAACUCGAUUUUGAUAUUUUCAGAUACAGCCUAAAUAUGUUACACUCCUAGACAAUGAAGAUGGUUUCAUGGUAGAUUGAUCACACAUCUGGAUACGUAGCAUAUACGGACUAAAUAUGUUACACUCCUUGACAAUGAAGAUGCUUUCAUGGUAUAUAGCACACGAAGAUACAUAUCAUAUACAGCCUAAAUAUGUUACUCUUCGACAAUGAAGAUGGUUUCAUUGUAGAUAGCACAUUGGGAUUAGUUACAUAUAGCCUAAAUAUGUAAGACUCCUAUACCAUGAAAGAUGCUUCCAUUGCAGAUAGCAAAUUAGGAUUAGUCAUAUAGCCUAAAUAUGUAAGACUCCUAUACCAUGAAAGAUGCUUCCAUUGCAGAUGCACAUUAGGAUAAGUCACAUAUACAGCCUAAAUAUGUUGAACUCCUAGACAGAGAAGAUGGAUUCAUGGCAGAUAUGAAGAGUCAACAUCCCUGAUAUGUUCCACUCCCAUACAAUGUUGAUGGUUUCAUGGUAGAUGGCACAUUAAAUAGUUUAACAUAUGCAACUUGUAUGUUUCUGUAGUAGAAGGUGCAGCAUGGCAGCAGAAGAUGGUAAAUGGAGAAUCGUGAAGAGACAGUUUAAUUCUUUAGAGGAUAAAUAAUAUUAUAGUUUAUAGAUUUAUAGUUUAUAAUUUCUUUAAUGUUCAAAAUAUCAGAUGAGAAUUAGCCAAGUGCCCUCAAUAUGUCGACAAUGAUAUAACAUUCAUAAUUAAGAAUGUAUUGUAAACCUUUUUUACAAUAUUCAUAUAAAAGGAAGUAGAUUGUCAAUUUAGAUAUUUACUUAUUUACCUGAAUUUUUUAUUAAGUAAUUGGAACAAUAUGACUUUAUUUACAUUGUUUAAAUUCAAGUUCAAAAUGUAUAUACAUCAGAUAGUUUUGGUUUGCCAACAACUUCAAUUGUAUAGCCAAAAGAUCAAUUGUUGGUUGUAAAUAAUGCCAGCUCUAACUUAAAUCUUAAAAUAGAAACUAUCUUCAAAUUUGACAAGUUACCAUAUUAUACAUAUGAAUAAAUUAGAAUAGUCUGUAAAUAUUCUGUAUUUUCCCUUUUGCAUCAUCUUUUUAGUAACCAAAUCAGAACACCCAAUUUGGUGAAAUACUUUUUCCUGUUAUAUCUAUUAUUGCUAAAAUGUAUAUGCAGUUUUUGUCGAGCCUGCGACUUUUGUCGCAGAAAGCUCAACAUAGGGAUAGUGAUCCUACGGCGGGGGCGGCGUUAGCUAACUUCUUAAAAGCUUUAUAUUUUAGAAGGUAGAAGAUCUGGAUGCUUCAUACUUUGUAUAUGGAUGCCUCAUGUUACGAAGUUUCCGUCAGUCACAUGUCCAAUGUCCUUGACCUCAUUUUCAUGGUUCAGUGACUACUUGAAAAAAAAGUUAAGAUUUUUUGUAAUGUUAAAUUCUCUCUUAUUAUAUGUCAUAGGAUAACUAUAUUUGGUAUGUGCGUACCUUGCAAGGUCCUCAUGCCCGUCAGACAGUUUUCACUUGACCUCGACCUCAUUUCAUGGAUCAGUGAACAAGGUUAAGUUUUGGUGGUCAAGUCCAUAUCUCAGAUACUAUAAGCAAUAGGUCUAGUAUAUUCGGUGUAUGGAAGGACUGUAAGGUGUACAUGUACAACUGGCAGGUGUCAUCUGACCAUGACCUCAUUUUCAUGGUUCAGUGGUUAUAGUUAAGUUUUUGUGUUUUGGUCCGUUUUUCUUAUACUGUAUGCAAUAGGUCUACUAUAUUUGGUGUAUGGAAUGAUUGUAAGGUGUACAUGUCUAGCUGGCAGGUGUCAUCUGACCUUGACCUCAUUUUCAUGGUUCAGUGGUCAAAGUUAAGUUUUUGAGUUUUGGUCUAUUUUUCUAAUACUAUAUAUGCAAUAGUUCAACUAUAUUUGGUGUAUGGAAAUAUUUUAUGAUCUAUAUGUCAGUCACGCAGGUUUUAUUUGACCUUGACCUCAUUUUCAAGGUUCAUUGCUCAGUGUUAAGUUUUUGUGUUUUGGUCUGUUUUUCCUAAACUAUAAGCAAUAGGUCAACUAUAUUUGUUGUAUGGAAGAUUUGUUAGCUGUACAUGCCUGCCUUGCAUGGUUUAUCUGACCUUGACCUCAUUUUCAUGGUUCAUUGGUCAAUGUUUAGUUUACUUGGUUAAUGUUAAGUUUAUGUGGCAGUUGUAAUAAAGCUUUAUAUUUAGGACUAUCAACAUAAUAUCAAUGAUUAGUAAAGAAGGCGAGACAUUUCAGCGUGUGCACUCUUGUAUUAAAUAUAUCUAAAUUAAAAAUUCAAAUAAAAAUCAAUUUCAAAUUAACACAAACAAAAUUGACUUUAACUUAUGGUUUAGUUCAUGCACUCUUUAAUGUAUAUCUUAAAAGUUAUGUUGUGGACUAAGCAAAUAUCAAAUUAUCAUUUCAGAAGUACAUUUUGCUUGCAUGGUAUCAUCUUCACUAACAUUUAACAUAGUGGGUUUGGGAGUUACUGAGGUAGUUCUUAUUGAGGUGUUUCUUGUUUUUUUCUAUGGAGGAAUCAGUGGUUUCUAUGUCUUCAGGAUAUGGUUUUGUCAUUCAAAGGGAACUGUCAAUGUAAUUCUGAAAUGAUAUACAUUUGGUAUUUUAUUGUCAUUGAAAAAGAAACAAUAUUAGUGCAUGAACAUUUGAACUUUGAAUAUAUAAUAUUUAAACUUGAUAAUUUAUAGUUUUUAAAUUGAUUUUGGAAAUUUAUUGUAUCAAAAUUAAAUUGUAUUAGACAGUUUAAUGAAUGGAAAUUGAAAAUUAGAAAAACUUAAUUCAUGUUCUUAAUUUAAGCACAAGUGAAAACAAAAUUCCAAAUAUAAAUUUCUGCUUCAUUAAAACUUGUUAAAUGGAUAUGCAAAAUCACUGAUAGCUAACAUGGUUAAUCCGUCUUAAUUAGAUAGUGUCGUUAAGUAUAGUCUAAUGGAUCCUGUUGAUAUCAUAUUAAAAGUAUUGAUGUAUUAUAAAUCCUAUUCCUAAAUCUCGCAUGUUAGAUGCCAGAGACCCCCCUUUGUUAUAGAGGGAUCGCCCUUGCAUCAGUGUAUUGCAAAUUGUACUGGAAUAUACUGAACUAUAGAUUACUUUCUGUUAAUAAAGCAUAGGGUCACUUUCACUCAACUUACUUUUUUUUACGUAUACUAGUAUACGUUGAUAAUUUUAUUUUAUAUUGCAUUUUGAUUUGCAAUACACACAUGUUUUAAGGUGUAGGUCAGAGCACCUGACCCUGGAGACGGGAUUGCGCACUUGGCAUCCACUGACACAGGUUUCUAGGGCUUUUUGAUCGAUUAUAUUGUUUUUUAUCUCUAGUUGUUCCUGGCCGGCCCUGACUGUCUAUGAAGGGGUGCAUUUAGUCAAAAGUUGGUUUUGGUGUAUUUAGGUUAAUCAUGGAAGUAUUAUAUUUUACUUCCAUGGGAUCAAAUAUACAUAUGAAUUGUAUGAUUUUAAAUUAUAUAUGCAUUGCAAUAAUAAGAAUUUAUUGAAUUUGUGAAUUUUUAUAAUACAAUCUGGCGUCCAUCGAGCAUGACGGGCUGUCGGCAAACUAAGAUUAUGUUUGCGUUGUUUAUAUUUUGCACGAGUAUAUAGUUAAUACCACCUAUUUUUGAUAAGCAGUGGAAAGGUUUUAUUCGUUUGUGGUCUAGAUUUAAUAACAUGAGCUCAAGUCGGUUAAAUGCAAAAGUUCAUUAGUGGUCUGACAGAAUGAGUAUUAAGCAUAUAAGUGUGUUGAAAACGAACUUUUUAGUAUGGAAAACCUCUGAACUGAAUUCAAGUCAUUUAUCGUGUCCUGAAAAUAUGGACACUAAUUAUGUUGUUAAACUUUUAAUGUCAAAAUGCAUUUCAGUCACAGAAGUGCUUUUCUCAAAUUUAGAUGUGGUGUUGCUCCACUAAGGAUUUAAACUGGGAAAUAUGAAAAUAUUGUUUUAGAGUGUGCCAUAUAUGUUAUAGUUUUAUUGAAGACGAAGCACAUUUUAUUAAGGUUUCCUCUUUAUAAAGAUUUUAGAAACCAUUUAUAUUAUGUUGCUGAAACUUGUAAUGAAAAUUUUAAUACUUUAGAUGAUAACCAAAAGUUAAGUGUUUUUAUUCUCAAAUGUAAAUAUGAUACAUGUGUGUUCCAAAACCUUUUAUUUGAUUUUAAAAAGGUGUAGAAAUUUUAUAUAUGGUAAAUACAUGUAGUACUUUAUUUCAUAUUGUUUAUUGUAUUGGUUCUAUGCAUUUUCAUAGUCUCUUAUAACUCUGUAUUGAAUGGCUCUCAUUUUAUUAAGUAUUGUUUUACAAUGUAUAAAUAUCGAUUGUAAUUGUCAAGAGAUGUGACAUUCAUAAAAUAUUGAAUUAAUUUAAUUGUUAUAUAUAUAGUAUUGCAAUCAAUAUUUGUGUAUGCCUCGCACAAAAAGGUGCAAGCAAGGCUGUACUGGUCAUCUUCAGUUAUCAAGGUUUUUUUUUUAUAACAAACCCACUGAGAUCUGGUAUCCAGGAAAUUAAAAUGAAUCAACAAUAGUUUCGUGUAUUUUGUACAAUAAUAUUUUUUGUAAUUACAUCUUACUCAUGAUGCAGAUCUGUCUUCAUCUAAUACUAUGAUGAUGCACUACAGUGGCAUAAAAGUCGUUACGAUAGGUUUAGAAAGUGUCAUUUUGGUAUUUAUUAUCAUGAUGCAUAAGACUUGAAUUUCCCCACGUUUCAAGGAAUAACAUUGAAAAAUAAUUUAUAAGCCAACACUUCUAGCCAGCAGUCUGUUUUGAAUAAUAAGGAUUUCUUUAAAACUGUUCAAUGUAUACCUCCUUCGACAAUCUUCCUAGCAUUUACGCACGACAUUUUCAGUUUUAAAUUCGAUUCGCCGUGUUAACUCGUUUUAGUUGGUUGUUCCAUGAUAGAAUUUUUGCCAUUAUUUGAUAUUUCACAUAAAAUACAAUGUAAGAGCAUAUCAUCAAUUACAAUUGCUAUGAUUUACUUUAUGUAUUUAUGCUUAUCCUUGUAUGCAUGUUUAUUGUUUUAAUAAAGGUAAAAUCCGAUGUCUAGGUUAUCGGCAAUAUGAAUAUA